rnacentral:rRNA from 1 species
UACGGGGGGGGCAAGCGUUGUUCGGAAUUACUGGGCGUAAAGGGUCUGUAGGUGGCUUGCUAAGUCAGACGUGAAAUCCCUCAGCUUAACUGGGGAACUGCGUCUGAGACUGGCGAGCUUGAGGGCAGGAGAGGAACGCGGAAUUCCAGGUGUAGCGGUGAAAUGCGUAGAUAUCAAGAGGAACACCUGCGGCGAAGGCGGGUUGCUGGGCCGACACUGACGCUGAGGCGCGAAAGCCAGGGGAGCGAACGGG